rnacentral:rRNA from 1 species
UACGUAGGGGGCAAGCGUUGUCCGGAUUUAUUGGGCGUAAAGAGCGUGUAGGCGGCUAGAUAGGUCCGUUGUGAAAACUCGAGGCUCAACCUCGAGACGUCGAUGGAAACCAUCUGGCUAGAGUCCGGAAGAGGAGAGUGGAAUUCCUGGUGUAGCGGUGAAAUGCGCAGAUAUCAGGAAGAACACCCGUGGCGAAGGCGGCUCUCUGGUACGUGACUGACGCUGAGGCUCGAAAGCGUGGGGAGCAAACAGG